rnacentral:rRNA from 1 species
UACGUAGGGGGCAAGCGUUGUCCGGAAUCAUUGGGCGUAAAGCGCGUGUAGGCGGGUCGGUAAGUCCGCUCUGAAAGCCCGGGGCUCAACCCCGGGAGGCGGGUGGAUACUGUCGACCUCGAGUCCGGAAGAGGCGAGUGGAACUCCUGGUGUAGCGGUGGAAUGCGCAGAUAUCAGGAAGAACACCGACGGCGAAGGCAGCUCGCUGGGACGGUACUGACGCUGAGGCGCGAAAGCGUGGGGAGCGAACAGG